rnacentral:rRNA from 1 species
GACGAACGCUGGCGGCGUGCCUAAUACAUGCAAGUAGAACGCACAGUUUAUACCGUAGCUUGCUACACCAUAGACUGUGAGUUGCGAACGGGUGAGUAACGCGUAGGUAACCUGCCUGGUAGCGGGGGAUAACUAUUGGAAACGAUAGCUAAUACCGCAUAAUAUUAAUUAUUGCAUGAUAAUUGAUUGAAAGAUGCAACUGCAUCACUACCAGAUGGACCUGCGUUGUAUUAGCUAGUAGGUGAGGUAACGGCUCACCUAGGCGACGAUACAUAGCCGACCUGAGAGGGUGAUCGGCCACACUGGGACUGAGACACGGCCCAGACUCCUACGGGAGGCAGCAGUAGGGAAUCUUCGGCAAUGGACGAAAGUCCGACCGAGCAACGCCGCGUGAGUGAAGAAGGUUUUCGGAUCGUAAAGCUCUGUUGUAAGAGAAGAACGGGUGUGAGAGUGGAAAGUUCACACUGUGACGGUAUCUUACCAGAAAGGGACGGCUAACUACGUG